rnacentral:rRNA from 1 species
CAGGAAAGAGCUCAAAGUUGGAACCCGUUUGGUUUAGCCAAACUGGAUUGUAAACUGUAGAAGUGUUUUCCUGGCACGCCUGAUGAAAAAGUCCAUUGGAACAUGGUGACAUAGAGGGUGAGAGCCCCGUAUUUCGUCAGAGCUGUUGUCUUUUGUGAUACACUUUCAAAGAGUCAGGUUGUUUGGGAAUGCAGCCUAAAUUGGGUGGUAAAUCUCACCUAAAGCUAAAUAUUGGCAAAAGACCGAUAGCGAACAAGUACCGUGAGGGAAAGAUGAAAAGAACUUUGAAAAGAGAGUUAAACAGUAUGUGAAAUUGUUAAAAGGGAACCGUUUGGAGCCAGACUGGCUUGAUUGUAAUCAAUCUAGAUUUCGAUCUGGAUGCACUUGCAGUCUAUGCCUGCCAACGACAAUUCAUUCUGGAGGAAAAAACUAGGAGGAAUGUGGCCCCUCGGGGUGUUAUAGCCUCUUAGAAAAUACUCUGGGUUGGAUUGAGGAACGCAGUGGAUGCUAUUUGGCGAAGUUGCUGAGUGCUUUUACUGGUACGUGCUAGAAUUUCUGCUUCGGGUGGUGCUAGUAUUUACCGGUGAAACUCGCUUGGUAAUCUUUUUAUCCGCUUAGGUUGUUGGCUUAAUGACUCUAAAUGACCCGUCU